rnacentral:rRNA from 1 species
CUUCGGACCUUGCGCUAAUAGAUGAGCCUAGUCAGAUAAGCUAGUUGGUGGGGUAAAGCCUACCAGGGCGACGAUCUGUAGCGGGUCUGAGAGGAUGAUCCGCCACACUGGGACUGAGACACGGCCCAGACUCCUACGGGAGGCAGCAGUGGGGAAUAUUGGACAAUGGGCGAAAGCCUGAUCCAGCCCAUGCCGCGUGUGUGAAGAAGGCCUUUUGGUUGUAAAGCACUUUAAGCGAGGAGGAGGCUACUUGGAUUAAUACUCUAGGAUAGUGGACGUUACUCGCAGAAUAAGCACCGGCUAACUCUGUGCCAGCAGCCGCGGUAAUACAGAGGGUGCGAGCGUUAAUCGGAUUUACUGGGCGUAAAGCGUGCGUAGGCGGCUUCUUAAGUCGGAUGUGAAAUCCCUGAGCUUAACUUAGGAAUUGCAUUCGAUACUGGGAAGCUAGAGUAUGGGAGAGGAUGGUAGAAUUCCAGGUGUAGCGGUGAAAUGCGUAGAGAUCUGGAGGAAUACCGAUGGCGAAGGCAGCCAUCUGGCCUAAUACUGACGCUGAGGUACGAAAGCAUGGGGAGCAAACUAGGAUUAGAUACCUCUGGUAGUCCUAUGCCGUAAACGAUGUCUACUAGCCGUUGGGGCCUUUGAGGCUUUAGUGGCGCAGCUAACGCGAUAAGUAGACCGCCUGGGGAGUACGGUCGCAAGAC